GAAGAUCACCGUCACCACAAAGUCCUGCACACCAGAAGGAAGAGGACAAAACCCGCCUAAAUUAAUCCAACAACUCCUCGCCUCGCUAAGUGAGAGACCGAAACGGCACUGACCACAGGUUUGGAGAAUGCCAGAUCUCCCUAUGGGACUUCAAUAGUGCAGUCACGCAAGACCAAAGGGGAUUACGGUCGUCUCACCCUGCAGGAAAAGACAAUUUAUGUCGCUGAAAACCACGGAGGAAAGAAAAUCAACCAGGAGAGCUUGCAUAAAGCACAGACAAGCGACUAAAUUAAGAGCAGCGGAAGUGCAGUUACCUCCGGGGACUCUACCGGUCAGCUGCGCAAUGAACAUGUGGAGCAGCAGUCAGCUAGUCCAGCUGUCACCUUCACUUGAGCCUCAACGCAGACGUGCGCUGGUCUUCAGUGCACGCUGAGUCGGCACUUGAGUCAUGUGUGUGUGUGUUUGAUUUCCUGGGCUAUCCUGACCUGGUGGGGGAGAACACACACAAUGGUCAUCAUCAUCAACACUAAUCUUCUCAUCAUUGUAUAUGAGGAUAAGUUUUGUAAUGUCAGUUCCUGUACUUUUUGUCAUCAGAUUCUUCAAUUGUAUUGAUUGAAUGGAUUGUUAUCGUCCUUAAAAUGAAUCGUCACUUUGUUUUGGAUUUAUAUGGUGAUUCAUUUCUCAAUAAAAGCUGGAUUUUUAAUCAUU